GAGAGAGAGAGAGAGAGAGAGAGAGAGAGAGAGAGAGAGAGAGAGAAGAAUCUUAUUAAUGCUUUUCUUUCUUUCUUUCUUUCCUUCCUUCCUUCCUUCUUUCUUUCUUU
rnacentral:miRNA from 1 species